CACUGAGACACAUAUAUUCUUUAGGGACCAAGUGGGAGAGCAGGCAGAUGAGGAAAUAAAGCUGAGUAGAGAGUGGUGAUUAGAAGCACCUAAGAGGAAGAAGCACAUGCAGUUUUCAGCAUUAUCUGUGAGGAAGGUUGCAGAGAUGAUCUGGUUCCAGGCCUGACCUUUUCCAGGGAGACAUGGUUCAGCCCCUUCACUUUGCUUGAGGAAAGUGUCACUGCCAACUGCUCAACUGAUUCCUCUGGAGGACGCAGCAAAGUGCAACACCAUCCAUAAUGAAUGAGCCCAUUUCCUGUGCAAAUCAGCUGCGGGGCCCUCAUCCACUGCAGGAAGGGGCAUCGGGGAAGCGUUGUUUGAGAGUGAAGUUCCCACUGGCAACAGCCUGUGCCAGGCCACCUUGCAGCUGCCAGUCCUGCCUUCACACAGAACCUGCAGCAAUGGGGCACCACUGCCCCCUUCUGGGAGGCCGGAAUAGCCCAAGAGGACUGGGCUUCCGUAGGAGCACCAGGUUAGCCCUUAG